UUCACUUCCUCAUCAUUCAUUAUUUUUAGAUGUUUUAUUUUUCUAUUACAUUUCUAUUUAAUAUAGGGACGGUUUCAAGCUUUGCUGAAGUUAAACAUCUAGUUGGAAUCUAAUCUCGUGUAAAGGAACUAAGUAACAUCAUUGUUGAAUGUUGAAUCUCUGAUGAAUUUGAAGGGUCUUGUUUUCUUGCAAAUUUUGCAGAAAUUUCAAAAAGGCAUAAACCGAAAGGCCCGAAACUUUUGCAAAUGAAGCUUCUUUCACAAAUCUUGAAGCAACAAUCACUGAAUGUAGUAAGUUCUAAUGAAGGUGCUCAAAAGAUGAGCAGUGCUCUACGUUGUAAGAAGGUUUCGAUUGUUCUUGAUGACGUGGAUAACGAUAACCAAUUGGAAUACUUAGUUGGAGGACGUGGCUGGUUUGGUGAUGAGAGUAGGAUCAUCACAACAACAUCUAGAAACAUUGAUUUACUUCAAAAGCACGAUGAGAUAUAUCGUGUCCCUGAACUGUCUAUCGAUGAGGCUCUUGAACUUUUUCAGUUGGCACGCCUUUCAGAAAGAGACUCCUGAUUUGAAAACCUUUCGAUUUUUCUAGUAAUUUAUGCUAAUGGUUUACCCUUAGCUCUUGAGCUAUUGGCUUCUUUUCUCUACAAAGGAGGCAUGAAUGAGCAUUAGAUAGACUCAAAGACAUUGGAGACGGGGAAAUUAUUAAGCAACUUAGCUUAAGUCUAGAUGGAUUAAGCCACAAAGACAAGGAGCUCUUACUUGGUAUUGCAUGCUUCUUCAGAGGAAACAGAAAGACGAUUUGAUUAAAAUACUGAGUAGCUCUGGAUUUUACUCAGGAUUUGGAACUUACAACCUUGUUACAAAAUCACUUUAACCAGCGCAUUUUCAACCGCGAAACCUUGUUGGUCUCAGCAUGACUUUUAGUUCUCUUGUCGAAUUUUGCGAAGAACCAAAGAAAAUUCACUCCGAAUUCCCAGUUUUCAGAAACCUUUCCUGCAAACCUUGGUGAUCUAGAAGAGUUGGAGGAGCUUUAUGCUGGCAACACCGCAAUUUGGCAACUACCAGAUUCUGUUCAACAAUUAAGCAGACUUACAGUCCUAUCAUCAAGAAGAGGGUGGAAGGGGAGGAGUAAAUCUCCUGGGAGUUUGGUGCACCCGAUUUCAUUAAAUGGUUUGUCAGAAUUAAAAAGAUUAGAUCUCAGUGGAUGCAAUGUUUUUUGUGAAGAAGUUUGUUCUCUUAGAUACUUGUCUUCUUUAUUGGAACUAAACUUAAGCAGAAACAAACUUCUUUACCAUUUAUCAUUGAUCUUUUCCAACUCCGAUACCUUAACAUAACACACUGUCAGGAACUAAAGGAACUGUAUGCAGAAGAUUUUCUGGGCAUAGAGAGUAUUGUAGCUCUGCGGACUUUCCUGAUUUUAUUUUUAGUCUCAUUCACCAAUUAUUCUUUUGAUCAUCAGCCUUAUAUGGAAAAGAGCAUUGAUAGCUCAGUUUUGGAGCAAAUUCUCAGUUUUUUCCUCUCAGAUGCUAAGGUUAAUGUAGGCUACCUGCUAAACUAUGGCCGGAAUGGGAUAUCAAUUAUUUUUCCUGGAUGUGCAAUUCCCACGUGGUUUAAGCAUCAAAGUAUCGAGGAAAAGAUAUCCGUUUGAACUACCUAAGGAUUGGUUCCAUUAUAAUUUUCAGGGCUUUGCUAUCUGCUUUGUCACUUGCAUGGGAGCGGGCGUCUAUGAUCCUGGUUCAGGUUUAUCAGGGAAGUAUGACUAUACUUCCAUAAAAGCCAAAUUGAUAUGCAAUAAUAAUCUGGAGAAGCCUGAAGUGCUGGAGAAAGAAUGUAAAGUGGGCACUGCAUCCAGAACUUGUGGCUGGUAUGUUUGCUUUGCCUACAUACCAUUGUAUUUUCUUCUGCAGGUGUCUGGCGCAGAUGCUAGAAACCUUAGCCAGUAUUGCCUAUUUAAGGCAUCUAUCAACAACCGCAUCGCAAGACAGUGGGAAGUUCAUCUGGUUUAUAAGACAUAAACAAUUUUUCAGAAGCCGAAUAGAUGAAGCAUCGUUUGGACUUUGAACCAUGCAAAACUGAGUCUAACUCAAACUUUCUGUCACAUGGCUCUAGACCUGAGCUUGAGGCAUUGCUGAAACUAGCUCUAUAUGCUGGUGUCUUCAGGGGACUUUCCAAGAGUUUAAGAUGAUUUACUGCAUCAGUGGCUAUCCAGAAUGGGCAAUUGUCAACUAAUGUUAAAAUUAUCUUGGCAAUCGAGCAGCUGCAACUCUUUCGAAGUGAAAACUGCACUAAAUAUUACGGCAACUGAGAAGAUGAGAAGAGAAACAACUUGAUUAAAAAAUAAAUAAAAACCAUGUGUAAGCUUCUAUAUAUUCUAGUGAAAUUUUAGUACAACAAUUUUAUGCUUUUGCAUUUCAUCAAUAAUGGAAAACGUAUUUUAAGGGUAUAUUCGAUUAUUUAAGAAACCACAAAGUGCAAAAUUGACCCACAAGUCCUGUAAAGUAAAUGGUGAUAAAAGAGCUUCGAUACAGCUUUUCACAUCACAAGUACUCACUCACACUUGUGUACCCACCAUUGUGGAUAAACACAACACGAGGAAUCCCUGAUUCCUCAGAAAGCUCAUCAUCUUUCAAAUCUCCUCAGUAAUAUGGCAGCGCUUUUCAGGUAUCUUGGGUCGGAGACUUGUGAAUACAGGAGAAAACACUUUAUCCGUUUAGUAACUCUAAAGCACGAAUCAGAAUUAGUCAACCAAUGACUAACAUAGAAGUGCUUCCCUGCUCUCAAAUCUGUCCAGACACAGCACUACAUGCACUCACCAACUUUCCAACCAUCCUACAAAGCACAGAUUAAGAAGUUACCAUCACCUGGAAUUUUGAGAAUAAGAUGUAUACAUUCUUGCUGAGGAGCCGUGUGAUUAUUUCAUAAUGUUUUUGUAAUACAAUCCACUGAAAAAUUUAUCUGAAUAUGCAACACCAAAGACUCUG